UACGGAGGAUGCGAGCGUUAUCCGGAUCUAUUGGGUUUAAAGGGUGCGUAGGCGGACUGUCAAGUCAGCGGUAAAAUUGAGAGGCUCAACCUCUUCCCGCCGUUGAAACUGGUGGUCUUGAGUGGAUGAGAAGUACGCGGAAUGCGUGGUGUAGCGGUGCAAUGCAUAGAUAUCACGCAGAACUCCGAUUGCGAAGGCAGCGUACCGGCAUCCAACUGACGCUGAGGCACGAAAGCGUGGGGAUCAAACAGG
rnacentral:rRNA from 1 species